rnacentral:rRNA from 1 species
GAUGAACGCUGGCGGCGUGCCUAAUACAUGCAAGUCGAGCGAACGGACGAGAAGCUUGCUUUUCUGAUGUUAGCGGCGGACGGGUGAGUAACACGUGGAUAACCUACCUAUAAGACUGGGAUAACUUCGGGAAACCGGAGCUAAUACCGGAUAAUAUUUUGAACCGCAUGGUUCAAAAGUGAAAGACGGUCUUGCUGUCACUUAUAGAUGGAUCCGCGCUGCAUUAGCUAGUUGGUAAGGUAACGGCUUACCAAGGCAACGAUGCAUAGCCGACCUGAGAGGGUGAUCGGCCACACUGGAACUGGGACACGGUCCAGACUCCUACGGGAGGCAGCAGUAGGGAAUCUUCCGCAAUGGGCGAAAGCCUGACGGAGCAACGCCGCGUGGGUGAUGAAGGUCUUCGGACCGUAAAACUCUGUUAUUAGGGAAGAACAUAUGUGUAAGUAACUGUGCACAUCUUGACGGUACCUAAUCAGAAAGCCACGGCUAACUACGUG